UUACGUCUUCAGGGCGGGGUGAAAGUCCCCACCGGCGGUAUGCCGCGGCGCGCAGUGCGUGUCCGGCGAGCCCGCGAGCGCUCGCAUUCCCGUGCGAGGUCAGCAGACCUGGUGAGAGGCCAGGGCCGACGGUCAUAGUCCGGAUGAAAGAAGAUGGGC
rfam:Ralstonia eutropha H16 chromosome 2